UACGUAGGGGGCGAGCGUUGUCCGGAAUCAUUGGGCGUAAAGAGCGUGUAGGCGGCUUGGCAAGUCUGACGUGAAAGCCCGCGGUUCAACCGCGGAUUGUCGUUGGAAACUGCCUCGCUAGAGUCCGGAAGAGGAGAGCGGAAUUCCUGGUGUAGCGGUGGAAUGCGCAGAUAUCAGGAGGAACACCAAUGGCGAAGGCAGCUCGCUGGGACGUGACUGACGCUGAGACGCGAAAGCGUGGGGAGCAAACAGG
rnacentral:rRNA from 1 species